rnacentral:rRNA from 1 species
AUGCUUGUCCACGGUGACCAAAGUGGCUUCAUUACUGGUCGAUGUAUCGCCGAAAACUUCAUCUACGCAACUGACUCAUUGAAUUGCUGCCACAAACGCAAAGCUGCCACCAUGGUCCUUAAACUUGACUUCAUAAAGGCUUUUGACUCCAUCUCUUGGACCUCCUUAAUUAAAAUUCUUCGACACCGUGGCUUCCCCACCCGCUACUGCAAUUGGGUUGAUGACCUACUCACCUCCGGAAAAACUGCUAUCUCACUCAACGGUAUACCUGGUAGCUGGAUACAAUGCAGAAAUGGCCUGCGGUAAGGUGACCCCAUCUCACCCUACCUUUUCAUCAUAGUAGCCGACGUCCUCUAGCAGAUGAUCCUGAAACCAGCCGCUACUGAUGAAAGUGUCCUUCACCAUCCUGUCUACCCAGACCUUCCUCCGACCGUGCUUCAAUACGCCGACGACACGCUAAUCAUCGCCCAUGCCUCAACUAUGGCCGCACAAGUUCUUAAGAAAGUCCUCGAUGACUUCGCCUCGGCUACGGGCCUCUGCAUCAAUUUUUCCAAGACAACGCUUGUACCUAUGAAUGUCGACCCCGCCGUCUCUGAUCUGAUCGUCCAAUCCCUGGGAUGUGUGACCGCCAGCUUUCCGCAAACCUACCUAGGUCUUCCUCUCUCACUGCACAAACUACCACCCUCGGCCUUUCAGCUAAUCAUCUCCUCCUGCCAAAGUCUUCUACCUGGCUGGUGUGUAAAGCCGCUCAACCGUGCAGGUCGCCUCGUCCUCAUUUCCUCGGUCCAUGACUCCCUGUCUAUGUACUUUAUGUCUGUCUUCAAGCUGCCAAAAAAGGUUAUUAAAUUGUUAGACUCCAUUCAUAGAGCCUUCUUCUAG